rnacentral:rRNA from 1 species
AUUGAACGCUGGCGGCAUGCCUUACACAUGCAAGUCGAACGGUAACAGGUCUUCGGAUGCUGACGAGUGGCGAACGGGUGAGUAAUACAUCGGAACGUGCCUAGUAGUGGGGAAUAACUACUCGAAAGAGUGGCUAAUACCGCAUGAGAUCUACGGAUGAAAGCAGGGGAUCGCAAGACCUUGUGCUACUAGAGCGGACGAUGGCAGAUUAGGUAGGUGGUGGGAUAAAAGCUUACCAAGACGACGAUCUGUAGCUGGUCUGAGAGGACGAUCAGCCACACUGGUGCUGAGACACGGCCCAGACUCCUACGGGAGGCAGCAGUGGGGAAUUUUGGACAAUGGGCGCAAGCCUGAUCCAGCAAUGCCGCGUGCAGGAUGAAGGCCUUCGGGUUGUAAACUGCUUUUGUACGGAACGAAAAGCCCUGGGUUAAUACCCUGGGGUCAUGACGGUACCGUAAGAAUAAGCACCGGCUAACUACGUGCCAGCCGCCGCGGUAAUAC